GUGCUCACUUUGGCAGCACGUGCACUAAAAUUGGAAGGAUACAGACAAAAUUAGCAUGGUGCCCCCUGCACAAGAAAGACAUGCAUAUUUGUGAAGCGUUCCAUAUUUAA